ensembl:lncRNA
CAAGUUUAAAGGUAUAAAACUGAAAACCACCAAUGGCACUUUUAAUAUUCUUCAUGACAUACAGUGAAAGAAGCAUGAUUACAUACAUGUAGGUCGUGUAGCCACAUAUAAAAUAUGCAUACAUAUCAUUAUAAGUAGUCAAAUCCAUAUACAUCCACUGUUUAAUAUUUUGGAAUAUUUCUCUUAAAUAUUCCAUGAAUAUCUGCAGAAAGACUUUGAAUUGUUCUUUUUUCUGUUUUAUAUACAUCUCCUGUCAGAAUAAUGAUUUUAUUUUCCUUCCACAUCGUCUCCAAAAUCACCAAACACUGGAGCAAGGCCAACGCUACUGUCAAGCUAACAUUGGCCUAAAAAGUGUUGAGUCAUUCUCAGUCUCUGCUGCUGUCGUGUGACUGCUGUGUGUUCUGUGUGUCAUGUAUGUUGUCCAUUAACUGACAUAGUUGUUUAUAUACUACAUAACUGAUGAUCAGUAUGAUGGUAGCAAAGCUCACCUGAAUUGACGAUGCUCCUGGUGUCAGGUACACACUGUGUAACUAAGCUACAGCUAGCAGGCUAAAGCAGGCUAACCGCCCCCUGCUGUUCAUCCAGGUCAUGUUAGGAGUAGAGAUGGACCGAUCCAAUAUUACGUAUCGGUAUCGGUCAGAUACUGACCUAAAUUCCUGGAUCGGAUAUCGGCGAGAAAUAAAAAAUGUAAUCCGAUCCAUUAAAUAUCAAAAAAACACCUCACAAAACUUGCGACACGGCGUAACUCGGCUCAUAACCGUAGCACGUCGGAGCAGUGUGCUCACGUGAUAGAGCGGCUGUGUGUAUUUGUAGCCUCGCUACCAAACCAGCAUUUCAUCUCCGAGGAAGUUAUCCCAGAGAGAAGUAAAGCAAGUGUAUAAGUUCAUCUCUGAAUGUUUGUAAAGCGUUCCCACGUUAACCUUAACAACCGAUAUAUGGAGCGACUGCCUCUCUCUCUCUCUCCCUCUCCUGCCGCUACUUCAAUCAUGAAACUGAUCAAUGAUCAGCUGAUCGGCUUUUCUGUCAUCAACAGUCGAGGUGUUUCUGGGAAUGUCGUCAGGAACGGCUGCGAGGUCCCGAUCAGAGCACGUAACAGAAACAUCCCUGACGUCGACCGAGAACUGCACAGAGCAGUUUUUCAGGGCGUAGGGCAGCGAGGGGUUAAUGUGAAGCAGGACAAGAAGAAGCGAGACGAAGACACCAGACUGAUGAAGCAUGGUGACUGACAGGAUCACACCUUCACUCGGCUCCUGUGAGAUUAGAUUUCCAGCUUCAGGCUUCUCUGGCAUGUAUCAUCCAGCGUUUGAUGAUUUGAAGCAGCAUAAACUCGACCUGGACAGAAGUCUGCAGCUGCUAAGCUAAGCUAGUGAAAAACAGCUGCUGAGAGGAGGCUUCAUGUCAGAGCUUCACACCCUGACCAGGUCACAUUAGAAGCUGAAUGCAUGAAGGAAGAUUUGGAAAGUAAGAUGUGAGCAGAGGUUAGAGUUUAUACACCAUCACUGAUUCAUGUGAACAUCUGGACCUCCUGCAGAAUCCGUGUUAGAACAAGAAUCCAGCAGCACAUGGAAAGCAAAGCAAAGAGUUCAAGUGCAGGAACACUUCAACAGUGCUCUUACCUGAUGUUUUCAGUCCUCAGAGAGGAGAAAAAGACUUUUGAUUCUCAGUUUUCUUUCAGUCUGGGGAACUCAAGCAUGAAGCAUGACCCUAAAUAAAGCUGCUGGAAACAGGAACCGUGAGCUCGCAUGUGCCGCUGGAUUUUCAUGAAGUUGGGCGUUGCAGCAGAGCCUGCUGUCCACAGACCGCUGAAGGUGGCUGGUGAGCACCAGAGGGCGCCAGAGCUCCAGCCCCAGACACGAGGUGAACCCGUGAGUUCAGAGCUGCUUCCUUUAAUGUCACAUGCUCAGAGGUUAUCCUCCUCCUCCCCAUCAUCAUCACCGUGGACUACCAUGUCUGCUGACACACACACACACACACACACACACAUUCAUUUCUUUUUAAACAGCGUGUCAUUUGAAAACUAGAAGAGCACACAGUGAGUUACACAAACAUGUUUUUG